rnacentral:siRNA from 1 species
CAACAAUUAGUCCCCCCCCCCA